GCCCACGUAGCUCAGGUGGUAGAGCAUUCCCUUGGUAAGGGAAAGGUCUCCGGUUCAAGUCCGGUCGUAGGCUCCA
rnacentral:tRNA from 1 species